rnacentral:rRNA from 1 species
UAGGGAAUCUUCCACAAUGGGCGAAAGCCUGAUGGAGCAACGCCGCGUGUGUGAUGAAGGGUUUCGGCUCGUAAACACUGUUGUAAGAGAAGAAUGACAUUGAGAGUAACUGUUCAAUGUGUGACGGUAUCUUACCAGAAAGGAACGGCUAAAUACGUGCCA